AGAGUUUGAUCCUGGCUCAGGACGAACGCUGGCGGCGUGCUUAACACAUGCAAGUCGAACGAUGAAGGGGAGCUUGCUCCCUGGAUUAGUGGCGAACGGGUGAGUAACACGUGAGCAACCUGCCCCUAACUCUGGGAUAACGCUUCGAAAGGAGUGCUAAUACCGGAUAUGAGCCUGGAAGACAUCUUCUGGGUUGGAAAGUUUUUCGGUUAGGGAUGGGCUCGCGGCCUAUCAGCUUGUUGGUGAGGUAAAGGCUCACCAAGGCGACGACGGGUAUCCGGCCUGAGAGGGCGACCGGACACACUGGGACUGAGACACGGCCCAGACUCCUACGGGAGGCAGCAGUGGGGAAUAUUGCGCAAUGGGCGAAAGCCUGACGCAGCGACGCCGCGUGAGGGAUGAAGGUCUUCGGAUUGUAAACCUCUUUCAGCAGGGACGAAGCGAAAGUGACGGUACCUGAAGAAGAAGCACCGGCUAACUACGUGCCAGCAGCCGCGGUAAUGCGUAGGGUGCAAGCGUUGUCCGGAUUUAUUGGGCGUAGAGAGCUCGUAGGCGGUUAGACACGUCGGAUGUGAAAACUGGGGGCUCAACCCCCAGCCUGCAUUCGAUACGGUCUGACUAGAGUGUGGUAGGGGUAACUGGAAUUCCUGGUGUAGCGGUGAAAUGCGCAGAUAUCANNNNNAACACCGAUGGCGAAGGCAGGU
rnacentral:rRNA from 1 species